rnacentral:lncRNA from 1 species
CGAGGAGGCGAGGUGAGGCGUAAAAAACUCAAACAACGUAAGGUGUUCGACACCCGGUCAGCGGCCUCGACCUCUUUCGGUCGAUCCAACUACACCAUUGCGCUGAAUCAAUCUGCCCGCUCCGAGCGCAUUCUCUGGCCGAGCCAAUGCCCGCCUAUCAUCGACCCCACCAAAUGAUUGAAAAUUAUUGAUUUUCUCAAAUACCGAGGCAUUCAGUUCUGGAAUUUGGUUUGACGUCGACAUGCUUCUACGCAGACAGCAGCAGAGCAUAGGAUCGAUUCCUAGCUUACGUUGGAAUUGCUAUGCGUGAGAUAUUUUUUCGAGGCAGUCUUUUGGGCGACAGCGAUUUGAUUGAAGUGCAGAUGAGAACAAAUGUACGGAGAGAACUGCCUGAGUUACCUUUUACGCAGCAGGGCGUCCCCACUCCCCCACGGCGUUAUGCCGCGCCCACCACCUGUUCGGCAAAAUGGCUAGUUGGGGAUUUCAAUGGGACACUCUGACAUUAGCUUCUGCCAUCAGAAGGCGGUGAGAUCUCACAGUACGUCUGUGGAGCUGUGCAUUACUUCCACAUGGCCUUGUUCUGAUCAUGGUGGAUUCGGGCUAUCCAUUUUGAAGAGGACACUCAUGUAGUUUCUGCUACUCGAGCAAGAAGGCGAGGAGAUCUUGCAAGGAUGGGAGGCUUGAAAGUUGGGGGGAGAUAUGAUAAGAACAAGGCUACAGAGGAUCGAAUAGCUUGUCUUGUUGAUUAAACACUGUGACU